AACUGUGAGAAGGUGCUGCAUGGCUGUCGUCAGCUCGUGUUGUGAAAUGUUGGGUUAAGUCCCGCAACGAGCGCAACCCUUAUCCUUUGUUGCCAGCGGUUAGGCCGGGAACUCAAAGGAGACUGCCAGUGAUAAACUGGAGGAAGGUGGGGAUGACGUCAAGUCAUCAUGGCCCUUACGACCAGGGCUACACACGUGCUACAAUGGCGCAUACAAAGAGAAGCGACCUCGCGAGAGCAAGCGGACCUCAUAAAGUGCGUCGUAGUCCGGAUUGGAGUCUGCNACUCGACUCCAUGAAGUCGGAAUCGCUAGUAAUCGUGAAUCAGAAUGUCACGGUGAAUACGUUCCCG
rnacentral:rRNA from 1 species